CCUACGGGAGGCAGCAGUGGGGAAUUUUGGACAAUGGGCGCAAGCCUGAUCCAGCAAUGCCGCGUGAGUGAAGAAGGCCUUCGGGUUGUAAAGCUCUUUUGUCAGGGAAGAAACGGUCUACUCUAAUACAGUGGGCUAAUGACGGUACCUGAAGAAUAAGCACCGGCUAACUACGUGCCAGCAGCCGCGGUAAUACGUAGGGUGCAAGCGUUAAUCGGAAUUACUGGGCGUAAAGCGUGCGCAGGCGGUUAUAUAAGUCAGAUGUGAAAUCCCCGGGCUCAACCUGGGAACUGCAUUUGAGACUGUAUGGCUAGAGUGUGUCAGAGGGGGGUAGAAUUCCACGUGUAGCAGUGAAAUGCGUAGAUAUGUGGAGGAAUACCGAUGGCGAAGGCAGCCCCCUGGGAUAACACUGACGCUCAUGCACGAAGACGUGGGAGGACGAACAGAGUAGUAUACCUACGUAGUACGACGACCCGUAACCGAACUAGUCUACUAGUUGUUCGGUACGUUAAUUAGUUCGUU
rnacentral:rRNA from 1 species